ensembl:lncRNA
AAAAUAUAAAUAUUAAAUGAAAAAAAUAAAUUUCAAUUCAGUAUCUACUAAUCCAAAAUUCUAAAUGCAAUGUUGUUAUUCUUAAAAAGUGGGAAAUUAAAAAAUUACUCCAUAUAAUAAGGCAUAGGAAUUUUUCAGAAAUGAAUAAAAUAUAGAGAGUGGAGAAGAGAUAUAUUAAAAGGAUCUCUUACUACCUUUUGAGAAUAUUUAUGUCAGUUUUGUUGAUCUCUAGAAUAAUUAAUGGCAUUUAGUUGUAUCCCAUAUUACAAACUCAGAUUAAGGACAUUUUCAUUUAUUGUCUAUGGUGUCUUCCUUGAGUUUUUUUUUUUUUUCUUAAUUCUUAUCUUUGUCCGAAGACUAAGGUUUUCUCACUAUAAAUGGUUUUUAUCCAAUCUUGGCAUGGAUGGCAAACAUUCUAAAAUUUUUACCACUGACUGAAAUAUUGGGGUACAUCAGGGACAAACAAAAAGGAAUUAUUAGAUAAUGCUAUUGAGUAGAGCAAGAGGACAAGCAUUGGCUUAAUUAAUUCAUCAGUAUGGUUGCUUGAGAUUAUGAGCUUGUGUGUGUUGGUAUGUGUAUGUGUAUGGAUAAAUGUAAGUGUGGUAGUGACUGACAUGAAAGAUAACAAAAGGCAAAACCUUUUAUAAUCAACCACUAACUGUGUCACCUGAGCGCUUAUAGAGCUUCUGCACAUCACAGAAGAUUUGAGGAAUGUAGGUUGACUCACUAUUUGUAAGCAUUAAGUUAAACAAAAGCACAAUGUCUAGAUCUGGACAAAACCAAAACAUUCAGAACUAAACAUUGAGAUACAGGAAAUGAUUUAUGCUGGGAAGAAACUUGGACUGUUUUAUCACCAAAUCCUGACAAAGCAGAUCAUUGUGCUAUAGAUUAUAAGGUAGAUCUUAGCAAAAUGAAUUAACUGGCUCAAUGUUUGUAAAUAACUAUAUUUUCAGAACACAUACAUGUUUUCAGCAACCUGACAAGUCAAGGAACUAGCUUAUGAACAAGAAAAAAUUUUCAAGGACUUUGGACCAUAAGAUUUUAUAAUGAAUGCUGUUAUCUAGAGAAAAUCAGAUGAAAUUGUUUAUCACUGCAUGAAUACUACUUUUGCUGAGAAAAUAUUAGAAGUUGGUGGUGCCCGGGCAUGUGAUUGACCAUACAGAGGAAUUCAACAUUGAUCUUGGCCUCAUUGAUAAGUAUUCAAGUAUCAGAAUAUCAAAGAUUUCUUCAUAUGGCAGAUCUCAAAAAAGUUCAAGUUUAGAUGAAAAGUCUCAAAGUCCUGAUCUAUUGAAUUUCACUUUAAAAACAUUAGAUUAUUUUAUUAAGUAAUGGGUAAUAUAAUUAGACAUGAAUUAACUUCACAUACAAUAUGCCAUGAAAUAGAAAUUUAAAAAGUGGUAGAUAGUAAGUUGAACACAUAAUGAUAGCUGUACCUAUGAUUGAUGUAUCUAGAUAGCCUGUGUUUGAGUAUUUUCUCUUUUGCUAAGUAGAUAGUUUACUUUGUGUAAGUUUGUAACCUACACCAUUAUUUCUUACAUCCAUAUUUGUAAAGGGAUGCUAAUUGUAUUUAUCCUAUGGCGUUUUAUGAAGCUUGAAUUAAUGUAUUUAAAAUACUUCAAAGAAUGAGUGAUAUAGAAAAAGCUAAGUAACCAUUUUUAAAAUGUUAUUUGUCCCACUUCCUCCCCAUUAUUUUGCUUAGUAACUUCUUCAUAUGUAUUAUAUUUUAAUUUUUAAUAUAAUAUAAAUAAUUCAUAAUAUGCCUUUUAAACAAU